rnacentral:lncRNA from 1 species
AACAAGCACUUCCUAGAGGAGGCUCAGAAACAAGCACUUCCUAGAGGAGCACAGCCCUAGGGCUGGCAGACAACACCACCAGAAACUGCAUGGAAGAAAAGGAAGCACUGCAGUGCACAGAGCUCAUCAUAGUUUCAACAACCUUGUUUAUUCAAGAGGUGCAAAACGUUUUUCAAAACUAGAAAUGUGUAUUAUAUAUUCUUCUUAGUGAUAUCAAGAUAAGAGAACCUAGUGCACUGCACGGAUGAAAUGGAGAGAGAUUCUGCAGAAGGAAUAAACAUGGAGAUCUUUAAGUCCCA